rnacentral:rRNA from 1 species
GAUGAACGCUGGCGGCGUGCUUAACACAUGCAAGUCGAACGGAACUACUCUAAUGAGAGUCUUCUGAAGGGAGCUGGUUUCGUUUAGUUGAGGACUGGUGAGUAACCCGUUGGUAACCGGCCCUAUACAGGGGGAUAACAGUUGUAAACGACUGUUAAUACCGCAUAAGCGCACAGGAGUGCAUGCUCCGGUGUGAAAAACUCCGGUGGUAUAGCAUGGACCCGCGUCUGAUUAGCUAGUUUGCGGCGUAACGGCAUACCAAGGCGACGAGGAGUAGCCGGCCCGAGAGGGAGGUUGGGCACACUGGAAGUGAGACAGGACGCAGACUCUGACGCGAGGCAGCGGUAGGGAAUCUUACGCAAGGGGGGAAAGCGGGAUAUAGCAACGUCGCGGGAAUGAUGAAGGACCGCGGAUGGGAAAACGCUGUUGUUGGUGAAUAAGAAAAGCGCAAUAAGCUGGGCAGAUCAUGACGGUACCUAACUAAGAAGCCCCGGCUAACUACGUG